rnacentral:rRNA from 1 species
GUGGGGAAUAUUGGACAAUGGGGGGAACCCUGAUCCAGCCAUGCCGCGUGUGUGAAGAAGGCCUUUUGGUUGUAAAGCACUUUAAGCGAGGAGGAGGCUACCGAGAUUAAUACUCUUGGAUAGUGGACGUUACUCGCAGAAUAAGCACCGGCUAACUCUGUGCCAGCAGCCGCGGUAAUACAGAGGGUGCAAGCGUUAAUCGGAUUUACUGGGCGUAAAGCGCGCGUAGGUGGCCAAUUAAGUCAAAUGUGAAAUCCCCGAGCUGAACUUGGGAAUUGCAUUCGAUACUGGUUGGCUAGAGUAUGGGAGAGGAUGGUAGAAUUCCAGGUGUAGCGGUGAAAUGCGUAGAGAUCUGGAGGAAUACCGAUGGCGAAGGCAGCCAUCUGGCCUAAUACUGACACUGAGGUGCGAAAGCAUGGGGAGCAAACAGGAUUAGAUACCCGGGUAGUCC